UCCCAAAGCAGAAAAUCUCUAAUAUAUAUCUUAACCAUUCUAUAUAAUACUGCUAUAUUAAUUGGGCACUCAAAGAGAGUGAUUAGAUCAUGAACAUGGGUUAUAGAUCUUGAUCAAUUAAUAUUUUGAUGUCCAAUACUUCCUUUGACCAGAUUUUCUUAAGUUUCAUUAUACCAAAUCUUUGCAAGAAUGUUGUAGGCGGUCAGUUUUCAUUAGUUUUAUGAUGGAUAAGAUGCCUCAUGUGAGUUCCCAACCACAUACUUUCAUCAAGUUUGUUCAAAUGUUUUCUAUAGACCACUUAAGAGUUGGAUUAGGAAGUUGCCACAUGUUGAAAUACCAUGGGUCCCACUUCGACACAAGUAAAACUUAGCAUGCAAGACAUUGGGUUCUAAAACAUCAAGCAACACAAUGAUAUAUGCAUUAUGGCCAUUACCUAAUUAGAAGCUAGCUGUAGUAAAUGUCAUAAUACAAGCUAAUCCAACUAAGAUUCAUGGGGUGAAAAUGUCCCACCCAAAUUGAAUUUGAAAGUUCCAAUUAAUCAAAAGAAGUGGAGAGAGAGG
rnacentral:lncRNA from 1 species